GCCGACGUACUCCAACUGGCAGAGAGACGGGUCCUAGGAACCCGGCAGUGUGGGUUCGAAUCCCACCGUCGGCACCA
rnacentral:tRNA from 1 species